ensembl:lncRNA
ACACACACACACACACACACACACACACACACACACACACACACACACACACACACACACACAAAAAGUAGAAUAAUUUUCACUAAAUUACAAGGAAUGUUAUUGAGGAAAAAUGUUUAUUAUUAAUAAUAAUCAUGAUAGUAAUAACUGUAAUAAUAAUUGUGAUAAUAAUCUAACAAUAUUAUAAUAAAUAGUACUGUUUCUUUGAAGCACGUUGGAAGCAUACAGAAAUUAAAAACCAGUCAACAAAAAUACAAAACAACCAUCCCAUAAUGGCUCACCGGCUCUGGUAAAAUGUUAAAUGUAAUUCUAUAUCUAUUUAUUUAUCUAGAUACCAUUUUCUUAUCUUUAUAUUUUCCUUGGAACAGUUGUAAAUAGAAAAAAUAAAACGAAACCAAAAACCCAAGAGGGAAACGAAAAAAAUAAAAACGUAAGAAAAGACAGGACGAUUUUUUUUCGUUUGUUUGCAGGUUAAGUGAAGCACACGUUCCUCUGGUUCCAAUAUACAGCAGUACAAGGUUUGGUCUAUCCAUAGAAACGAAGGAGGAGUCUGUACAUUCGGUAGAUAAAAGCACAUCAAAGCUGUAAACAGGAAAGGGUGACCCCCCUCUUAAAAGACGAACGCACCUCAAAAAAAAAAAAAAAGUCCCAAAAAGUUGAAACAACGCAAAAACAACAACGACGACGACGGCAACAACAGCGACGCGACAACCAAACGGACAGACGCCCAGAAAAGGGACAGACGCCCGGAAAACGCAUGGAAAGAAGGAGUCUUUAAUCGUUCUGCGACCCGCUUGCUCACUACGCCUAUUUUUACAAACCUUUUUUUGUGCUUUGGGGACUCUGCAUAGGGUGUUUGUUGGGGUGCUUUGAGGGAGGGUGGAGGGAAUACCACAGUAGGGAGAGGAGAGUGUGUGUGUGUGUGUGUGUGUGUGUGUGUGUGUGUGUGUGUGUGUGUGUGUGUGUGUGUGUGUGUGUGUGUGUGUGUGUGGGUGUGGGUGAGUUGGAGGGGGGACAGAGUAGGGAGAGGAGAGUGUGUGUGUGUGUGUGUGUGUGUGUGUGUGUUUGUUUGGGGGAGGACAGAGUAGGGAGAGGAGAGUGUGUGUGUGUGUGUGUGUGUGUGUGUGUGUGUGUGUGUGUGUGUGUGUGUGUGGGACAGAGUAGGGAGAGGAGAGUGUGUGUGUGUGUGUGUGCGUGUGUGUUUGGGGGGGGAGGACAGAGUAGGGAGGUGAGAGUGUGUGUUGGGGUGUAAAAGAGUAGGGAGAGGACUUUAUGGUGUGUGUGUGUGUGGUUGUGUUGUGGGGUGGGGGAGUAACAGGGGGUGGGGCUUGGGGUCAGUGAAUUACCAGGGGAGGUAGGAUUGGUUAUUUAUUUAUUAAAUAUUUUUCUGGGUCUCGGGUCAUUGCUAGUCCCGGCAUGGGGGAGGAGAGGAGAGGGGAGAAGGGGAGGAGGGGAGGAAAUGGGGCCUGGCUUAAACUGUCUGAGGUCUUCGGCAUGAGGUCGUUCCAGGGCGAGCGAGAUAGAGAUAGAGAGGAGAAAGAGAGAGAGAGAGAGAGAGAGAGAGAGAGAGAGAGAGAGAGAGAGAGAGAGAGAGAGAGAGAGAGAGAGAGAGAGAGAGAGAGAGAGAGAGAGAGAGAGAGAGAGAGAGAGAGAGAGAGAGAGAGAGAGCGAGAGAGAGAGAGAUGGGAUAUCAGGUGCUCAUAUAGGGCUUUGCAUCUGAGGUAUACGAACGAAGUCACAGACCAAUGAGCACCGGGGAAGCCUUGUGGAGGGAACACAACACACACCAGUGACACGGUGGUGGAAGGAAGCUCAGGAUUUGUCACGUUGCCGUUGUUGUGUGCAGCUACUUGUCGGGCUGCAUAGCUUAGCAAGCGAAAAAAGGUGGGGUCCAUCUUUUUCAAUUUUUUCCGGGAAAAGGUGUUGUACGCAGGGGGAGGCAUUGGUGAGGAAGGUAUAGAGGACGCUAUAGGUAUAUACUUUGUAUGCCAACUUAAAGAAGGACAUGUUAUAGGGGUCGGGGGGGAUUUACAGUAGUCAGCCAUAGAGAAUAUCCAAAUGAAAAAGCUGCUUGGCAACAUGUUUUUCAUUUCGCUUUUGCUUGAAUCUCUUCAACAAAUCAAUAAUGGUGUGGACAGCAUUUACAGUACAUAUAAACAGGAGGGAGGGGCUUUGACCCCCCCCUAAAGAAACUCAUUAAUAAACCAAAACAAUAAGGUUCAAUAAAUAUAGAGAAAAAAACAACCUAUAUUAACAUUGCAGGGAUCGGGGUUUCCCCGCCGUCCCCGAUAAGAUUGACAUCGUUAGUUGUUUAACAUUUUCUUUUGUUUUGUCGCAACAAAGUUCAUGUUUGUGUGUCCAUUGUCCCUUGCAUUGUCUCUCGUCGUGACCUUUUUGACCUUCUCUCCGUUCAAGGUAGAAUGUCCCCAAGCAAGCGUCAGAUUUUUCUUUUCUUGUUUUGUUGUUUUUUUUGUUUUAUUCGUGGUUGUCAUAGUUUCAGCGACAGCUGCCUGAGUACAGCUGCUGGUUCGGGCCGAGACACGUCGGAGAAGGAUGCUGUUUUAAAAAAUAUAUAACGCUUACUUUCCUCUUUCACUGGAAGCACACGUAUAGGCUGACGGACGAACACUCUCACAAACACGCGGAUCUCAUUUAGACUCGGUCCCGGUGGAGGGCCAACGCUCUGGUGUAAACUAUGCAAACAUCUCGCCUCCGCUGUGCACAUGUACCUGGUGUGACGGAGGCGGACCACGCCCCACAGAGUCCUGCUCAGGUCCGGCUACAGGGUGCAGGGACACCGUCAACCCCACCAGCCCCAAUCCCUCCCCGCCGUCUCCGGCUCAAGCUACACCCGGACUCCACAACUACACUAUCGGCUGUCUGGAUGCAGCUUAUCCCCGUCUGCACCCCUGUACACCAAGUCCCGAAUGCCAUGGCCCCCGCCCUCACUCUCAAUGGGGGGCAGGGGAAAGGGGGGAGGAGAGGCUAAUCGCGAGAGAGAAACAAAAAAAGAAAUCGAUAUUUCAAAGGUUUCUUUUACAAGUCCUGCCCCUCCCUCCACCUAACCCCUGCUGCUUUCCCAACAUCGUCUCUAUCCCUCCCUCUUACACACUCAGACACGCACGCACACACACACACACACACACACACACACACACACACACACACACACACACACACACACACACACACACACGCACACACACACACACACACUCUCACUCGCUCACUCGCUCACUCAUGCAUAAACACACACCGCCCCAUGCAUUCUUGUUCCGAUCAAACUUUGAAGAGGCUGGGUGAUAGAAAUUCUGACUGAUCCUGUAAUAAUUACACACAUCUCUCCCUCCCUCUCUGUCUAUCGCUCUGUGGCACUGCAACAGGCUCCAGGGUUCUGCUUUUCCACUUUUAAAUACUCUUCUCCGCUUUCAUUUUCUUUGCAAUUUUUUUUUACUUCAUUUUUUUUCCCGGGCCAUGGCAUGAGAGUCACUCUGGGUCAGAAGAAGUCCAGCAUAUUAUCGGAAAUGAUUCGCUAUACAAUUUACACAUGUAUAUCAUUUACAGAGUACUGUCUGUUUCGAACAACACUCACAUAAAAAGUCAACGUUUUUAGAAGUUACAUUCAAUAGCUGAACCGAAAAGAAACCAAAAAACUCUCCAAACGAACCCAAACGAACAGAAAACACACGAGUAUAAACCUCCUCAUACAUCAACAGUGCAUUGAAUCUUGCAUGAAAGUUGAAAAUCAAAGGCAAAUUUAAAGUCCAAGAGUUGCAGAUCACAAAUAGAUAUAUCUAUAUUUCAUAUAUAAAUGUUUUUUUUUUAUUCUUCUUCUUACUGGUAAUACAAUAAAUACAACAUUAGUAAAUGGCUACAAGUGACUCUCUGACCAUGCCUGACUGCAUGUUAUUAGUACAACGUUUAAAUAUAGAAGGAUGUCACUAAAGUAGAGAUCCAUAGAAAUAGAAAGGUUUAAAGAGAAUCUUAAUAAAACUUUGUUUGCUUGCACCCUCCUUUUUUUUACUUGGUAAACUUUCAAACACCCCUCUGCCUACCUCCCCCUCCCCUCCUCCUCCCCCCCCCCUUCCUCCUCCCCCCUAUCUUCUCUCCCCCUUAGAGGAGGGGCCAGGUGUAGACUCGAGAUGGGGGCGUUACUUGCCUCCCGCGGCCGCACCAUGAGAAAUGCUGUUUUGUUUUCCCGCUGCACACGCACGCGUACUCUCGGAUAACCCAUAACAAAGGUCUUAGCUCAACGCUAACAUUAGCAUUUAGAUGCUAUUUAGCUUAAUGCUAACGUCAGCCACGGGCUAAGGCCUCCGUUAUGGGUCAUCCCGGGAGUACGCGUAACCUAUUACGAAGAUUACCCGUCACAAAAGCCUUAACCUGAUGCUAACACUAGCAUUUAGCACAGGACACGCAGGUGAAACACCCAUGUGUCGUGUGCUGAAUGCUAAUGCUAGCGACGGGCGAAGGGCUUCGUUCUGGGUUAACUGGGAGUUUGACGUCUCUGUCUUGCCCUCUAGUCUGAACAUAUAGCCCCCCCAACUCCUCACCCAACCGUGUUUUUUUAAUUACAAAAAGCAGUUCACUACACAGCACAGCUAACGUAACUGAAACCACAACCACAAGUUAGUUUUUGGUAGUGACGCAGUGACGGUGGGG